AUCCUAGCCGUAAACGAUGUCAACUAGCUAUGGGAGGUAUCGACCCCUUCCGUGGCGACGCUAACGCAUUAAGUUGACCGCCUGGGGAGUACGGCCGCAAGGUUAAAACUCAAAGGAAUUGACGGGGCCCGCACAAGCGGUGGAGCAUGUGGUUUAAUUCGACGCUACGCGAAGAACCUUACCUGGGCUCGAACGACUGGUGGUAGUCCGGUAGAAAUACUGGGCGACCCGCAAGGGAGCCAGCCGAGGUGCUGCAUGGUUGUCGU
rnacentral:rRNA from 1 species